CUGAUCCAUAUGAAUUCCUCUUCAAGAAAAAUAAAGCAUCCAGGAUUCAAUGAAGAACUGACUAUCACCUUGUUAAUCAUUCAGAAACAUGUUGCAGACUUAAGCCAUUUUUGAUAUAGAUACUGAAACAAUUACUUGCUAAGAGCAAACUUGAAGUAACAAUUUGGACAAGACAGCAAAUGCUAUUGUCCAAGUUUUCUAAAGAAGAAUCUGAAGUGAAAUGACAUCAAGAGACCUAUCAAGACCUGUAUCCAGGAAAAGACCAAACCAAUGCAGACCAAACCAAUGCAGAACUCCUAUGUGCUGAUGGUGGUCUUACGUUUCCCUAAGUUUCUGCCGACUAAACUGUGCACACGUUCUCAGGACCUCCUGAAGCUGCGUCACAGGCACUAAUCAAAGAACACAACCAAGAGUUUGGCCUUUUCUUCAGCACUGGGAAUUGUGAUCCAAAGCUUUCCCGGAUGAAGCACAAAGUUGGAGAAACAAAACGCAAACUAAACAACAACAAUGAAACAGAACAGAGUUAAUCUGCUGUAGCUCAAGAGAGGACGUACCUGCCCCCACCCCGCAUCCCUGGCUCGGGUUUGCCUUGCUGACCUCUGCUGCCACCUGGUGCCACACAGAGAAACUGUGGAGAAACCACAUCAGUCUCCUUCAGCCUCAGCUUCACAUCUGUGGGUCAAGUAACCCUUUCAGAAGCUGUAUAAUGUGGGAAAGCUUUCCUCUCAGGAAAAUGCACACAUCCAACUUUGAGAAGAUGCCCUUGGGGGCGCUUCAAGGAUCCUAGAUAAAGAACCCCCUUUCCCGAACAUCCAAGAACCUAAGUUUUUUUUUUUUUUUUUUUUUGAGAAAGUCUCGCUCUCUCUCCCAGUCUGGAGUGCAGUGGCGUGAUCUUGGCUCCCUGCAAGCUCCACCUCCCAGGUUCACGCCAUUCUCCUGCCUCAGCCUCCCGAGUAGCUGGGGCUACAGGCACCUGCCACCACACCCGGCUAAUUUUUUUGUAUUUUUAGUAGAGACGGGGUUUCACCGUGUUAGCCAGGAUCUUCUUGAUCUCCUGACCUUGUGAUCCACCCGCCUCGGCCUCCCAAAGUGCUGGAUUACAGGUGUGAGCCACCGCACCUGGUCCAAGAACCCAAGUUUUAGAUCUAGAGUGAUGUCAGCAUGACAUUGAUUUCCUGAGGCCCAGGGGUGAAGGAGCUGAGGACAGCAGAGGGGUGAAGGAACUCAGCUACAGACAGCAGCAGCUGAUGCACAGGCCUCCCAGCGCCUGAAGUCACCCGGAAUUGGGAAGUGCUCAGAAGCUUACAAAGCUGCCUCGAGGUGGGAACACGACAUAAAUCCAAGAGCAGAUCCCUGAUCCUAUAAAAAUGUACUAGAUGCAGUGGGGGCAUUUUAAAUGAGCAGAGAAGGACAGACAGAUAAACAGAAGGACAAACAGUAUUGGGAUUGGGUAAAUGCUCAGCUUUUGCCCAAAUCUUAGUGACUUAAGCAUCACUUAUUUGCUCACGAUUCUGUGGCUGGACCAUUUGGUUUGGCUCACAGGGCAGGGACUGUGCUGGUCUUACCUGAGCAGACCUGCAUGUCUGCGGUCAACUGGGUUGGCAGAGACAGAGGGACAGAGGGACUGUCUUCCUCCAGGAAGCAGCAGGUUAACUGGUUGGCAGAGACAGAGGGACAGAGGGACUGUCUCUCCAGGAAGCAGCAGGUUAACUGGUUGGCAGAGACAGAGGGACUGAGGGACUGUCCUCCUCCAGGAAGCAGCAGGUUAACUGGUUGGCAGAGACAGAGGGACUGAGGGACUGUCUUCCUCCAGGAAGCAGCAGGUUAACUGGUUGGCAGAGACAGAGGGACAGAGGGACUGUCUUCCUCCAGGAAGCAGCAGGUUAACUGGUUGGCAGAGACAGGGAGAGGGACUGUCCUCCUCCAGGAAGCAGCAGGUUAACUGGUUGGCAGAGACAGAGGGACUGAGGGACUGUCUUCCUCCAGGAAGCAGCAGGUUAACUGGUUGGCAGAGACAGAGGGACUGAGGGACUGUCCUCCUCCAGGAAGCAGCAGGUUGGCUCUGUUUCCUUCGUGGGGUAGCUGGUCUCCAGGGCAGCAAGAGAGACCAAGCCCCAGUGCACAUUCUACAGCCUCUGUGCACAUCAGACUUGUUAAUAUCCCAUUGGCCAGUGUAAGUCACAUGGCCAAGCCCAGAUUAAGGAGUGGAAAGAUGGAGACUAUCUCCUCCUGGGAGAGGAGGCAAAGGAGGUGGGAGCAUUAUGUGGCCAUUUAUGUUUGCAAUCUACCAUACUUAGCACUUUGAGAAAAGAAUUAACUGAGAAACUUGCUUCAAAUAGGGCAUUCAGUAAAAUGAAGCCCCAAUUGAAGUAAAAGGCAUAUAUAAAAAAUGAAACUGUGACCGAUUUUAAGGACAGUAUUGGCAAAUAUUUCUGUGCUCUUGGAGGAGAAGACCCUUAUUUGCAUGACAUGUCAGAAACCACAAUGAAAGAAUUAUUUUAACUUGCAUUCAUAAAAAUUAAAAUUAUUCAUUAAAAACAUCGUGAAUGAAAUUAAAAGUCAAAAUGUAAGCCAGAAAAUUAUUCACAAUGUACGUGUCAGGAAAAGACAAUACCCUUUAAACUUUGAGAGUUUACAUCAGACAGAAAACAGCAAAUGACAUGAUCCAAACUUGAUAAAGGACAUGAAAAAGAGCCAGCAGUUAGUAUGUUUUCUGAAUGAAUAAGUAGCCAACAGCACAUGAAAAUGUGUGUAUUCCAUUUGUAAGCAGAGAAAUGCAAACUAAAACAGUAAAGUGUCAUUUUCACAUCCUGG
rnacentral:lncRNA from 1 species